rnacentral:rRNA from 1 species
UACGUAGGGUGCAAGCGUUGUCCGGAAUUAUUGGGCGUAAAGCGCACGUAGGCGGCCGUUCAAGUCGGAUGUGAAAGCCCUGGGCUCAACCCAGGAAGUGCACCCGAAACUGAACGGCUUGAAUACCGGAGGGGCCCAGAGAAUUCCCGGUGUAGAGGUGAAAUUCGUAGAUAUCGGGAAGGAAUACCAGUGGCGAAGGCGCUGGGCUGGACGGUUAUUGACGCUGAGGUGCGAAAGCGUGGGGAGCAAACAGG